AGAGCUGGCCGGGCAAUCGCGUCAAUUGACGAGGAAAGUCCGGGCUCCAAAGGGUAGAACGCCAGGUAACGCCUGGGAGGUGUGAGCCUACGGAAAGUGCAGCAGAGAGUAGACCGCCGAUGGCCUUUCUUCGGAGAGCGCACAGGUAAGGGUGAAAGGGUGCGGUAAGAGCGCACCGCGCAACUGGCAACAGUUUGUGGCACGGUAAACCCCGUUCGGAGCAAGACCAAAUAGGAAUCCUACAGGUGUGACCCGCACUGGAUUCGGGUAGGUCGCUUGAAGCCUGUGGUGACGCAGGCUCUAGAUGAAUGAUUGUCCACGACAGAACCCGGCUUACAGGCCAGCUCUUUUU
rnacentral:RNase_P_RNA from 2 species